rnacentral:rRNA from 1 species
GAUGAACGCUGGCGGCGUGCCUAAUACAUGCAAGUCGAGCGAACAGAUGAGGAGCUUGCUCCUCUGACGUUAGCGGCGGACGGGUGAGUAACACGUGGAUAACCUACCUAUAAGACUGGGAUAACUACGGGAAACCGGAGCUAAUACCGGAUAAUAUAUUGAACCGCAUGGUUCAAUAGUGAAAGACGGUUUUGCUGUCACUUAUAGAUUGAUCCGCGCCGCAUUAGCUAGUUGGUAAGGUAACGGCUUACCAAGGCAACGAUGCGUAGCCGACCUGAGAGGGUGAUCGGCCACACUGGAACUGAGACACGGUCCAGACUCCUACGGGAGGCAGCAGUAGGGAAUCUUCCGCAAUGGACGAAAGCCUGACGGAGCAACGCCGCGUGAGUGAUGAAGGUCUUCGGAUCGUAAAACUCUGUUAUUAGGGAAGAACAAAUGUGUAAGUAACUAUGCACGUCUUGACGGUACCUAAUCAGAAAGCCACGGCUAACUACGUG